rnacentral:rRNA from 1 species
GACGAACGCUGGCGGCGUGCUUAACACAUGCAAGUCGAGCGGUAAGGCCCUUCGGGGUACACGAGCGGCGAACGGGUGAGUAACACGUGGGUGAUCUGCCUUGCACUCUGGGAUAAGCCUGGGAAACUGGGUCUAAUACCGGAUAUGACCUGCAGUUGCAUGACUGUGGGUGGAAAGAUUUAUCGGUGCGAGAUGAGCCCGCGGCCUAUCAGCUUGUUGGUGGGGUAAUGGCCUACCAAGGCGACGACGGGUAGCCGGCCUGAGAGGGCGACCGGCCACACUGGGACUGAGACACGGCCCAGACUCCUACGGGAGGCAGCAGUGGGGAAUAUUGCACAAUGGGCGGAAGCCUGAUGCAGCGACGCCGCGUGAGGGAUGACGGCCUUCGGGUUGUAAACCUCUUUCGACUCCGACGAAGCGAAAGUGACGGUAGGAGUAUAAGAAGCACCGGCCAACUACGUGCCAGCAGCCGCGGUAAUACGUAGGGUGCGAGCGUUGUCCGGAAUUACUGGGCGUAAAGAGCUUGUAGGCGGCUUGUCGCGUCGAUCGUGAAAACUCGGGGCUCAACCCCGAGCUUGCGGUCGAUACGGGCAGGCUUGAGUACUUCAGGGGAGACUGGAAUUCCUGGUGUAGCGGUGAAAUGCGCAGAUAUCAGGAGGAACACCGGUGGCGAAGGCGGGUCUCUGGGAAGUAACUGACGCUGAGAAGCGAAAGCGUGGGUAGCGAACAGGAUUAGAUACCCUGGUAGUCCACGCCGUAAACGGUGGGUACUAGGUGUGGGUUUCCUUCCACGGGAUCCGUGCCGUAGCUAACGCAUUAAGUACCCCGCCUGGGGAGUACGGCCGCAAGGCUAAAACUCA